AUGUUGAAGCGCCGGAACUGGGAGAGGCUUGCAAAGUUGUCCUGGUUUAUUUUUUCCAAUGAUAUUAUUGGCUUGUCAGAGAAGAAGCAACGGUGGCCAAGUUCAAUGAUCGGACAGUACGACCUUGUAGGUUGGAUGAACGGUACCCGAGGGACUACAUUCAGUCAACGAGUGAUGACCAUGGUCAUAUGGGUGUUCCUUGGUUUGUUUGGUGGCAAGAAAGAGAAUAUAUUUUGGAUGAGCAAUGUGUUAGACGCCUGGUACGUGGAUGCCGAUGAGAUGACCAUGGCGUGUGUUGCAAAGGAGAUUAUUGUCUUGGAUAGUGAAUUCGAGGGGAUGCCCACUCGAGAAUGGCCAAAUCUUGGCUCGAUGUUGGCAAAGAGGAUGCAUGGUUUAGAACGCUCUUUUGCUGACAAUGUUGUGGAGAUGCAUGUUCUGACUGAUCUUACUCUUGAAUAA
rnacentral:rRNA from 1 species